rnacentral:rRNA from 1 species
UACUCCCCAGGCGGAGUGCUUAAUGCGUUAUGCAGCACUAAGGGGCGGAAACCCCCUAACACUUAGCACUCAUCGUUUACGGCGUGGACUACCAGGGUAUCUAAUCCUGUUCGCUCCCCACGCUUUCGCUCCUCAGCGUCAGUUACAGACCAGAGAGUCGCCUUCGCCACUGGUGUUCCUCCACAUCUCUACGCAUUUCACCGCUACACGUGGAAUUCCACUCUCCUCUUCUGCACUCAAGUUUCCCAGUUUCCAAUGACCCUCCCCGGUUGAGCCGGGGGCUUUCACAUCAGACUUAAGAAACCGCCUGCGAGCCCUUUACGCCCAAUAAUUCCGGACAACGCUUGCCACCUACGUAUUACCGCGGCUGCUGGCACGUAGUUAGCCGUGGCUUUCUGGUUAGGUACCGUCAAGGUGCGAGCAGUUACUCUCGCACUUGUUCUUCCCUAACAACAGAGCUUUACGAUCCGAAAACCUUCAUCACUCACGCGGCGUUGCUCCGUCAGACUUUCGUCCAUUGCGGAAGAUUCCCUACUGCUGCCUCCCGUAGAGUCUGGGCCGUGUCUCAGUCCCAGUGUGGCCGAUCACCCUCUCAGGUCGGCUACGCAUCGUCGCCUUGGUGAGCCAUUACCCCACCAACUAGCUAAUGCGCCGCGGGUCCAUCUGUAAGUGACAGCCGAAACCGUCUUUCAUCCUUGAACCAUGCGGUUCAAGGGACUAUCCGGUAUUAGCUCCGGUUUYCCGGUGGUUAUCCCAGUCUUACAGGCAGGUUACCCACGUGUUACU